GUCUACGGCCAUGCCACCCUGAACACGCCUGAUCCCAUAUGAUUUCGGAAGCUAAGCAGAGUCGGGCCUGGUUAGUACUUAGAUGGGAGACCACCUGGGAAGACCCGGUGCUAAAAAAA
rnacentral:rRNA from 1 species